rnacentral:rRNA from 1 species
GACGAACGCUGGCGGCGUGCUUAACACAUGCAAGUCGAACGGUAAGGCUCCAGCUUGCUGGGGUACACGAGUGGCGAACGGGUGAGUAACACGUGGGUGACCUGCCCUGCACUUCGGGAUAAGCCUGGGAAACUGGGUCUAAUACCGGAUAGGACCAUGGUGUGGAUACUGUGGUGGAAAGUUUUUUCGGUGUGGGAUGGGCCCGCGGCCUAUCAGCUUGUUGGUGGGGUAAUGGCCUACCAAGGCGGCGACGGGUAGCCGGCCUGAGAGGGUGGACGGCCACAUUGGGACUGAGACACGGCCCAGACGCCUACGGGAGGCAGCAGUGGGGAAUAUUGCACAAUGGGCGGAAGCCUGAUGCAGCGACGCCGCGUGGGGGAUGACGGCCUUCGGGUUGUAAACUCCUUUCACCAUCGACGAAGGGUUUCUGACGGUAGAUGGAGAAGAAGCACCGGCGAACUACGU